GACGAACGCUGGCGGCGUGCUUAACACAUGCAAGUCGAACGGAAAGGCCCUGCUUUUGUGGGGUGCUCGAGUGGCGAACGGGUGAGUAACACGUGAGUAACCUGCCCUUGACUUUGGGAUAACUUCAGGAAACUGGGGCUAAUACCGGAUAGGAGCUCCUGCUGCAUGGUGGGGGUUGGAAAGUUUCGGCGGUUGGGGAUGGACUCGCGGCUUAUCAGCUUGUUGGUGGGGUAGUGGCUUACCAAGGCUUUGACGGGUAGCCGGCCUGAGAGGGUGACCGGCCACAUUGGGACUGAGAUACGGCCCAGACUCCUACGGGAGGCAGCGGUGGAGAAUAUUGCACAGUGGGCGGAAGCCUGAUGCAGCAACGCCGCGUGCGGGAUGACGGCCUUCGGGUUGUAAACCGCUUUCGCCUGUGACGAAGCGUGAGUGACGGUAAUGGGUAAAGAAGCACCGGCUAACUACGUG
rnacentral:rRNA from 1 species